AGAGCUAGGGAUUAAUUAACAGAGAUGAGGAACACAGACAUGGAGGUGGGUAAGCUUGAAAUUAGGUCAUCAGAUAAGAGAGAAGAAGAGGAAGAAGAAGAAGUGAUGGCUCCUGGGUUUAGAUUCCACCCCACAGAUGAAGAACUUGUAGGGUUUUAUCUGCAGAGAAAAGUGAAGAAGAAGCCUCUUCCAAUGGAACUCAUCAAACAGAUUGACAUCUACAGAUACCAUCCUUGGGAUCUUCCAAAGAAUAGCCAUGGGGUGGAAGGGGAAAGAGAAGGAUACUUUUUCUGCAGGAGAGGGAGAAAGUACAGGAACAGCAAGAGGCCUAACAGAGUGACAGUGAGUGGAUCUGGUUUCUGGAAAGCUACAGGAAUUGAUAAAACUAUUUAUGGAGGAGGCGGAGGUCAAAACGGCGUCGUAAUUGGGCUGAAGAAGUCAUUGGUGUAUUAUCAAGGAAGUGCUGGAAAAGCCUCAAAAACUGAGUGGAUGAUGCAUGAGUUUCGUCUUCCUCCCAACAACUCUACUGUCGAUCAUCAUCUUCUUCAUGAUGCUGAAGUUUGGACACUGUGCAAAAUAUUCAAACGAACCCCGUCUCAGAAGAAGUACACGCAAGCAGCAAUCAAACCCAGCCUAGCUCCUUCAACUCCUGAAUCAGGAAACUUAAGACCCGACGUCAAUGGCAACUCAUGCUUCACUUUCAAAAACUCAAUGAUCAUUCAGCAAAAUGAUGAAAGGAAGCAGAUUAGGAAGAGCAUUGAAGAGGUUGAAUAUGAAAGAAAUCACUUGUUUCUGGAUCAGUUAGCUCAAGCUUCACCAUCAAUAGUAUCUUACCCUAGCUUUUGGGAUACUGGUAUAAUGGAAGAGAAUAUAUUUGCUAAUGCAAACUGGUAUGAGCCCCAACAUAUGGUUCAAUUAGCUAUGGAUGAUCCAUCCAAAAUUUAUUAUGACUGUACGUAGUUAUACUCAAUUAGUAUGAUGGUUGGGGGCAUUUUGAUGCUCCAAUACCCAACUUUUCUUUGGGUUAAAGGGGGAGACUUUGACAUAUUAUUGUACUGUAUGAACAGAUUACAGGUUUUGACAUUAUUUUCAUUAUUUCAUUUGUUUCUU